GAACGAGUUGUCUGAACCUUCGGGGGACGAUAACGGCGUCGAGCGGCGGACGGGUGAGUAAUGCCUAGGAAAUUGCCCUGAUGUGGGGGAUAACCAUUGGAAACGAUGGCUAAUACCGCAUAAUGCCUACGGGCCAAAGAGGGGGACCUUCGGGCCUCUCGCGUCAGGAUAUGCCUAGGUGGGAUUAGCUAGUUGGUGAGGUAAGGGCUCACCAAGGCGACGAUCCCUAGCUGGUCUGAGAGGAUGAUCAGCCACACUGGAACUGAGACACGGUCCAGACUCCUACGGGAGGCAGCAGUGGGGAAUAUUGCACAAUGGGCGCAAGCCUGAUGCAGCCAUGCCGCGUGUGUGAAGAAGGCCUUCGGGUUGUAAAGCACUUUCAGUCGUGAGGAAGGUAGUGUAGUUAAUAGCUGCAUUAUUUGACGUUAGCGACAGAAGAAGCACCGGCUAACUCCGUGCCAGCAGCCGCGGUAAUACGGAGGGUGCGAGCGUUAAUCGGAAUUACUGGGCGUAAAGCGCAUGCAGGUGGUUUGUUAAGUCAGAUGUGAAAGCCCGGGGCUCAACCUCGGAAUUGCAUUUGAAACUGGCAGACUAGAGUACUGUAGAGGGGGGUAGAAUUUCAGGUGUAGCGGUGAAAUGCGUAGAGAUCUGAAGGAAUACCGGUGGCGAAGGCGGCCCCCUGGACAGAUACUGACACUCAGAUGCGAAAGCGUGGGGAGCAAACAGGAUUAGAUACCCUGGUAGUCCACGCCGUAAACGAUGUCUACUUGGAAGGUUGUGGCCUUGAGCCGUGGCUUUCGGAGCUAACGCGUUAAGUAGACCGCCUGGGGGAGUACGGUCGCAAGAUUAAAACUCAAAUGAAUUGACGGGGGCCCGCACAAGCGGUGGAGCAUGUGGUUUAAUUCGAUGCAACGCGAAGAACCUUACCUACUCUUGACAUCCAGAGAACUUUCCAGAAGAUGGAUUGGUGCCUUCGGGAACUCUGAGACAGGUGCUGCAUGGCUGUCGUC
rnacentral:rRNA from 1 species